AGCCACCAUCCUGGAAAGAAAAGCCCAGCCUACCACGGAGAAAUAAGAAAAUGAAAUGGGUAAAGCUCAGAGAAAUGCCAUAAAAUGACUUUUGAAAGGAUGCAUACGUGGUGUCCACAUUUUGUGAAGUGAGAAUGAGACCACGCUGGGCUCUAAGACGCCUCCAGUGCUCACGUGCUGUGCAAUCUCUAGCAUUUAACCUCACUGAGCCUCAGUUUUCCUACUAGUCAAAUGGAGAUACCAAGGAAUCAACUGUCUGGAUUACAGGAUCUUCGUCUCUAAAAUGAGAAAUGUGCACUGGAUCAGAUUGUGCUGCUGUCAUUGCAUUCCUCACUGGGUAUCCAGAAGAUGGCGGAGAGGACAGCGUCCAAGUGUUUGGUUCACAAAGCCACUUCCCUUUAUCUGUUCCACAUAUUGUUAAUAUUGUUUUUAAAUCAUAGAACUAGAUAAUAUCAUAGGCUCCUAUGGCUAUAAAAUCCUAUGAUUUGAGCAUUGAUUAGAGUCCCUGGGAGUCGGGGUGCAAACUGGUCUGCAAUGAUAUUCUGAAG
rnacentral:lncRNA from 1 species